rnacentral:rRNA from 1 species
UACGAAGGGGGGCUAGCGUUGCUCGGAAUCACUGGGCGUAAAGGGUGCGUAGGCGGGUUUUUAAGUCAGAGGUGAAAUCCUGGAGCUCAACUCCAGAACUGCCUUUGAUACUGAAAGUCUUGAGUAUGGGAGAGGUGAGUGGAACUGCGAGUGUAGAGGUGAAAAUUCGUAGAUAUUCGCAAGAACACCAGUGGCGAAGGCGGCUCACUGGCCCAUUACUGACGCUGAGGCACGAAAGCGUGGGGAGCAAACAGG